rnacentral:rRNA from 1 species
AACGAACGCUGGCGGCAUGCCUAACACAUGCAAGUCGAACGAGACCUUCGGGUCUAGUGGCGCACGGGUGCGUAACGCGUGGGAACCUGCCCUUAGGUUCGGAAUAACUCCCCGAAAGGGGUGCUAAUACCGGAUAAUGUCUUCGGACCAAAGAUUUAUCGCCUUUGGAUGGGCCCGCGUUGGAUUAGCUAGUUGGUAGGGUAAAAGCCUACCAAGGCGACGAUCCAUAGCUGGUCUGAGAGGAUGAUCAGCCACACUGGGACUGAGACACGGCCCAGACUCCUACGGGAGGCAGCAGUGGGAAAUAUUGGACAAUGGGCGAAAGCCUGAUCCAGCAAUGCCGCGUGAGUGAUGAAGGCCUUAGGGUUGUAAAGCUCUUUUACCCGGGAUGAUAAUGACAGUACCGGGAGAAUAAGCGCCGGCUAACUCCGUG